rnacentral:rRNA from 1 species
AAAUUGAAGAGUUUGAUCAUGGCUCAGAUUGAACGCUGGCGGCAGGCCUAACACAUGCAAGUCGAACGGUAACAGGAAGCAGCUUGCUGCUUCGCUGACGAGUGGCGGACGGGUGAGUAAUGUCUGGGAAGCUGCCUGAUGGAGGGGGAUAACUACUGGAAACGGUGGCUAAUACCGCAUAACGUCGCAAGACCAAAGAGGGGGACCUUCGGGCCUCUUGCCAUCAGAUGUGCCCAGAUGGGAUUAGCUAGUUGGUGAGGUAACGGCUCACCAAGGCGACGAUCCCUAGCUGGUCUGAGAGGAUGACCAGCCACACUGGAACUGAGACACGGUCCAGACUCCUACGGGAGGCAGCAGUG